rnacentral:miRNA from 1 species
CUUUUCUCUGGCACUGCGAG